UGACGGUACCUGACUAAGAAGCCCCGGCUAACUACGUGCCAGCAGCCGCGGUAAUACGUAGGGGGCAAGCGUUAUCCGGAUUUACUGGGUGUAAAGGGAGCGUAGACGGAUCGGCAAGUCUGAUGUGAAAGCCCGGGGCUCAACCUCGGGACUGCAUUGGAAACUGUCGAUCUGGAGUACAGGAGGGGUAAGCGGAAUUCCUAGUGUAGCGGUGAAAUGCGUAGAUAUUAGGAGGAACACCGGUGGCGAAGGCGGCUUACUGGACUGUAACUGACGUUGAGGCUCGAAAGCGUGGGGAGCAAACAGGAUUAGAUACCCUG
rnacentral:rRNA from 1 species